GCUACGGGGGGCCGCAGUGAGGAAUAUUGGUCAAUGGACGAGCGUCUGAACCAGCCAAGUAGCGUGAAGGAUGACUGCCCUAUGGGUUGUAAACUUCUUUUAUAUGGGAAUAAAAUGUUCCACGUGUGGGAUUUUGUAUGUACCAUAUGAAUAAGGAUCGGCUCACUCCGUGCCAGCAGCCGCGGUAAUACGGAGAAUCCGAGCGUUAUCCGGAUUUAUUGGGUUUAAAGGGAGCGUAGGUGGAUUGUUAAGUCAGUUGUGAAAGUUUGCGGCUCAAACGUAAAAUUGAAGUUGAAACUGGCAGUCUUGAGUAAAGUAGAGGUGGGCGGAAUUCGUGGGGUAGCGGUGAAAUGCUUAGAUAUCACGAAGAACUCCGAUUGCGAAGGCAGUUCACUGGACUGCAACUGACACUGAGGCUCGAAAGUGUGGGUAUCAAACAGGAUUAGAUACCCUAGUAGUC
rnacentral:rRNA from 1 species